rnacentral:rRNA from 2 species
UUACCUGGUUGAUCCUGCCAUUUAGUCAUAUGGGUGGUGGUCUCAAUAUGAUUAAGCCAUGCAUGUCUAAGUUCCAACCCUCGUACGGUGAAACCGCGAAUGGCUCAUUAAAUCAGUCGAGGUUCCUUAGAUGAUCCUUUUCCUACUUGGAUAACUGUGGUAAUUCUAGAGCUAAUACAUGCGGACAAGCUCCGACCCCUCCGUGGGAAAGAGCGCUUUUAUUAGUUCAAAACCAGUCGGGGUUUCGGCUCCGUCCUUUGGUGACUCUGGAUAACUUUGUGCCGAUCGCAUGGCCUCGAGCCGGCGACGCAUCUUUCAAAUGUCUGCCCUAUCAAAUGACGAUGGUACGUGAUAGGCCUACCAUGUUUACUACGGGUAGCGGGGAAUCAGGGUUCGAUUCCGGAGAGGGAGCAUGAGAA